rnacentral:hammerhead_ribozyme from 1 species
GUUGAGGAGUCCUAAAUAGGACGAAACGCGCGUCAAAC